rnacentral:rRNA from 1 species
GACGAACGCUGGCGGCGUGCCUAAUACAUGCAAGUUGAGCGCUGAAGGUUGGUACUUGUACCGACUGGAUGAGCAGCGAACGGGUGAGUAACGCGUGGGGAAUCUGCCUUUGAGCGGGGGACAACAUUUGGAAACGAAUGCUAAUACCGCAUAAAAACUUUAAACACAAGUUUUAAGUUUGAAAGAUGCAAUUGCAUCACUCAAAGAUGAUCCCGCGUUGUAUUAGCUAGUUGGUGAGGUAAAGGCUCACCAAGGCGAUGAUACAUAGCCGACCUGAGAGGGUGAUCGGCCACAUUGGGACUGAGACACGGCCCAACCUCCUACGGGAGGCAGCAGUAGGGAAUCUUCGGCAAUGGACGAAAGUCUGACCGAGCAACGCCGCGUGCGUGAAGAAGGUUUUCGGAUCGUAAAACUCUGUUGAUAGAGAAGAACGUUGGUGAGAGUGGAAAGCUCAUCAAGUGACGGUAACUACCCAGAAAGGGACGGCUAACUACGUGCCAGCCGCCGCGGUAA